GCCGGGAUGGCGGAACUGGUAGACGCGCUAGGUUGAGGGCCUAGUGGCCACAUAGGCUAUGGGGGUUCGAAUCCCCCUCCCGGCACCA
rnacentral:tRNA from 1 species